rnacentral:rRNA from 1 species
CGUUCUCGGGCCUUGUACACACCGCCCGUCACACCACGGAAGCCGGUAACACCCGAAGCCGGUGUCCUAACCCGCAAGGAGGGAGCCGUCGAAGGUGGGAUUGGUGACUGGGGUG